UAACACCGUCCCAACAUAACACCGCUCCAAUGUAAAAUCACCCCAACAUAAAACCGCCUCAACAUCUCUUUCAUCCUCUCUUUUUAUUCAGCCCCCAACCUACUUCCAUAUUAUUUCUUAUUAACCUCCCCACACAACACCGCUCCCAGAUAACACCGUCCCAAAAUCUCUUUUUAUCACGCUAACCAAAGCCCCAUCUCCAUCUAUCCCCCUAGACAUCUACAACCGCAACAAUCUUAUCAAUUAUUUUAGUUAAAACUUACGACUGGAAUCAGAGUUCCGAUUUUGUUUUUGAUCGAUUGUUGAUUUGUUGUCUCGAUAGGGAAUUUUUCUAGAUUAUUGUCAGCUUAUUAUUUUUUACCUGAUUCGCAUGUUAUUUCUUACUAUAGUCACGGAAAGUUCAAGAUCUGACACUUCUCCGAUUCCGAUUUAGAUGAGAAACAAUGAAGAAAGUGCUUCACUGAAUCAUCGAUGUAUCUCCCGCAACUACGAUCCAACUUCGCCCGAUCUGCUGAUCUUGAACCAGGAGAAACAAAUAUGAAGAGGCUGAACAGAGUUGCUGAGAAUUUAAAGUUUCUGCACAUCCAGUUUAUGAUAUUAUUUGGUGCAGAUUCAGAGGUUCACAUAACCAGCAAAUGUUCCCCUCGGGUAGUUCAGAUAAUGAUCAAGAAGGUUGAGCCAACAAAGUUGCUUACAGCAUUGCUCGAACCAUGUUCAUCAAAGAACGGGGGUGCUGGAAUGUUGGAGGAGAAUCCCUCAUAUGACAAUGAGAGAUGUGUUCAAGUUUGGCUACUAGAACAUUUUUCCGGAUCAAGAUCCAUAUUUAAGCACCAAAGAAAGGAUAGAGGGUACAAGAUUACACUGAAGAUAAGCGAGAUGAAUUACUAUUAGUUUAUGUAAACUGCAAAAGGAAAAAGAGAAGAGUUGAAGCGCUGUCUCUACAUUUCUGAGAAGAAUAGAACGUUCGU